GUAGGUGAACCUGCGGAAGGAUCAUUAAUGAAUUUAUGGGUGAUGAUGCCUGGACAUGCGCAAGCGUGGCUGGGAUAUUGUCUGCCCAAUAAUCCAAAUCCUGUGAACUUGUAAACUGUUUGUUGCUUGGUAGGUGUUUUUGGCGGGGUGACGAGAAAGAGUGUAUAUUUUAUAUAUGUUUCUUUUUUUUCUACCUUCCCGGCCUGCCAGCAGUAUUUUAUAAACCAUUUUGAUUGAGUUGUCUGAAAACAAAAUUUUUAAAAAAAAUAGCUUAAAACUUUCAACAACGGAUCUCUUGGUUCUC
rnacentral:misc_RNA from 1 species